GCGGGAUUAACUAGUUUGGAUAUAAUGCCUUUUCAGACAACAGAAAAUACAGAUAUCUGUGACAAUGCUCUUUAAAGUCCAAUAUGCAGGAAAGAAACGCUACAUCAAACUCAAUGGAGCGUCAUAUUCAACAUUUUUGAGACAAGCCAAAGAGAAGUUUGACAUCCUUGAAGAAACAAAUGUAUAUCUUGUGGAUGAAACUGGGACGGAGGUGGAUGAAGACGUCUUCAGUGACGUUCUGGAGGAGAAAUCCGACAUUGUCUG